rnacentral:SRP_RNA from 1 species
UCCGUGUUCGGUUUGUGGGGGGCACCGAGCGCGAAUGCCUGACGGUUAAAAGGCGAUCUUGCCUCAUGCUGGUUGGAAGCAUUGCUCUGCGGGGCGCGGUGGGGCUCGCCGGCCUGGCUGGAGGC